UACGUAGGGGGCGAGCGUUGUCCGGAUUUACUGGGCGUAAAGCGCUUGUAGGCGGUCCACCAAGUUUGGGGUGACAGUUGCCGACUUAAUCGGCAAAGUGCCUCAAAGACUGGCGGACUUGAGGGCCACAGAGGGACAUGGAACUCCAGGUGUAGUGGUGAAAUGCGUAGAUAUCUGGAAGAACACCAAAGGCGAAGGCAGUGUCCUGGGUGGUCGCUGACGCUGAGGCACGAAAGCGUGGGGAGCAAACAGG
rnacentral:rRNA from 1 species